GGGCCCGUAGCUCAGCGGUGAGAGCGCCGGCCUUAUAAGCCGGAGGUCCGGGGUUCGAAUCCCCGCGGGCCCA
rnacentral:tRNA from 1 species